rnacentral:rRNA from 1 species
AGUGAACGCUGGCGGUAGGCCUAACACAUGCAAGUCGAACGGCAGCACAGUAAGAGCUUGCUCUUACGGGUGGCGAGUGGCGGACGGGUGAGGAAUACAUCGGAAUCUACUUUUUCGUGGGGGAUAACGUAGGGAAACUUACGCUAAUACCGCAUACGACCUACGGGUGAAAGCAGGGGAUCUUCGGACCUUGCGCGAUUGAAUGAGCCGAUGUCGGAUUAGCUAGUUGGCGGGGUAAAGGCCCACCAAGGCGACGAUCCGUAACUGGUCUGAGAGGAUGAUCAGCCACACUGGAACUGAGACACGGUCCAGACUCCUACGGGAGGCAGCAGUGGGGAAUAUUGGACAAUGGGCGCAAGCCUGAUCCAGCCAUACCGCGUGGGUGAAGAAGGCCUUCGGGUUGUAAAGCCCUUUUGUUGGGAAAGAGAAGCAGCAGGUUAAUACCCCGCUGUUCUGACGGUACCCAAAGAAUAAGCACCGGCUAACUUCGUG